rnacentral:rRNA from 1 species
GACGAACGCUGGCGGCGUGCUUAAUACAUGCAAGUCAACUGAACUUGAGAUAGCAAUAUUUUAAGGGAGGUGGCGCACGGGUGAGUAACACGUAGGUAAUCUGCCUUUAGGUCUGACACAACCCCGAGAAAUCGGGGCUAAUAUCAGAUGAUGCAGCGGCUCGACAUCGAGACAGUUGUUAAACCUUCGGGGCCUAGAGAUGAGCCUGCGUCUGAUUAGGUAGUUGGCGGAGUAAAAGCCCACCAAGCCUGCGAUCAGUAGCUGGUCUGAGAGGAUGAUCAGCCACACUGGAACUGAGACACGGUCCAGACUCCUACGGGAGGCAGCAGUAAGGAAUAUGCUCAAUGGCCGAAAGGCUGAAGCAGCAACGCCGCGUGGAGGAUGAAGGUGCUAUGCAUUG